rnacentral:rRNA from 1 species
GAUCAUGGCUCAGGAUGAACGCUAGCGACAGGCUUAACACAUGCAAGUCGGGGGGGCAGCACGGUGUAGCAAUACACUGGUGGCGACCGGCGCACGGGUGAGUAACACGUGUGCAACCAACCCCGUACCGGGAGAUAACCCGCGGAAACGUGGACUAACAUCCCAUAAGACUCUAGAGCCGCAUGGCUCUGGAUUUAAAAUUCCGGUGGUACGGGACGGGCACGCGCGACAUUAGGUAGUUGGCGGGGUAACGGCCC